AUUGAACGCUGGCGGCAUGCCUUACACAUGCCAGUCGAACGGUAACAGGUCUUCGGUUGCUGCCGAGUGGCGGACGGGCGAGUAAUACAUCGGAACGUGCCCGACCGUGGGGGAUAACGAAGCGAAAGCUUUGCUAAUAACCCAUACGAUCUUCGGGUGACAGGAGGGGACCGCAAGGCCUUGCGGGAACGGGCCGGCCGAUGGGCGAUUAGGUAGUUGGUGGGGUAAAAGCUUACCAAGGCGACGAUCUGUAGCUGGUCUGAGAGGCCGACCAGCCACACUGGAACUGAGACACGGCCCAGACUCCUACGGGAGGCAGCAGUGGGGAAUAUUGGACAAUGGGCGAAAGCCUGAUCCAGCCAUGCCGCGUGCAGGAUGAAGGCCUUCGGGUUGUAAACUGCUUUUGUACGGAACGAAAAGACUCUGGUUAAUACCUGGGGUCCAUGACGGUACCGUAAGAAUAAGCACCGGCUAACUACGUG
rnacentral:rRNA from 1 species